AACGAACGCUGGCGGCAUGCCUAAUACAUGCAAGUCGAACGAAACCUUCGGGGUUCUUGCCGCACUCAAGCGUAACGCGACCGAACCUGCACCUAGGGUCGGAAUAACUCCGCGACUGGGGUGCUAAUAUCGGAACAGGUCCUCGUACCCAAGAUAAAUCGACUUUGCAUGGGCCCGCGUUGGAUUGGCCAGUGGGUAGGGUAAAAGCCUACCACGGCGUCGAUUCAUAGCUUGUCUGGGAGAAUGAUCAGCCACACUGGGACUGAGACACGGCCGAGAAUCCUCCGGGAGGCAGGAGUGGGGAAUAUUGGACAAUGGGCGAAAGGAUGAUGCAGCUAUGCCGCGUGAGUGAUGAAGGCCUUAGGGUUGUAAUGCUCUUUUAACCGGGAUGAUAAUGACAGUACCGGGAGAAUAAGCGACGGCUAACUCCGUG
rnacentral:rRNA from 1 species